UACAGAGGUCUCAAGCGUUGUUCGGAUUCAUUGGGCGUAAAGGGUGUGUAGGUGGCGCCGUAAGUCGGGUGUGAAAUUUCGGAGCUUAACUCCGAAACUGCAUUCGAUACUGCGGUGCUUGAGGACUGGAGAGGAGACUGGAAUUCAUGGUGUAGCAGUGAAAUGCGCAGAGAUCAUGAGGAAGACCAGUGGCGAAGGCGGGUCUCUGGACAGUUCCUGACACUGAGACACGAAGGCCAGGGGAGCAAACGGG
rnacentral:rRNA from 1 species